rnacentral:rRNA from 1 species
UACGUAGGGUGCGAGCGUUGUCCGGAAUUAUUGGGCGUAAAGAGCUCGUAGGCGGUGUGUCACGUCGUUCGUGAAAACCUGCAGCUUAACUGUGGGCGUGCGGUCGAUACGGGCAUCACUGGAGUUCGGCAGGGGAGACUGGAAUUCCUGGUGUAGCGGUGAAAUGCGCAGAUAUCAGGAGGAACACCCGGUGGCGAAGGCGGGCUCUC